rnacentral:rRNA from 1 species
AUUGAACGCUGGCGGCAGGCCUAACACAUGCAAGUCGAACGGUAACAGAAAGCAGCUUGCUGCUUUGCUGACGAGUGGCGGACGGGUGAGUAAUGUCUGGGAUACUGCCUGAUGGAGGGGGAUAACUACUGGAAACGGUAGCUAAUACCGCAUAACGUCGCAAGACCAAAGAGGGGGACCUUCGGGCCUCUUGCCAUCGGAUGUGCCCAGAUGGGAUUAGCUAGUAGGUGGGGUAACGGCUCACCUAGGCGACGAUCCCUAGCUGGUCUGAGAGGAUGACCAGCCACACUGGAACUGAGACACGGUCCAGACUCCUACGGGAGGCAGCAGUGGGGAAUAUUGCACAAUGGGCGCAAGCCUGAUGCAGCCAUGCCGCGUGUAUGAAGAAGGCCUUCGGGUUGUAAGGUACUUUCAGCGGGGAGGAAGGGAGUAAAGUUAAUACCUUUGCUCAUUGACGUUACCCGCAGAAGAAGCACCGGCUAACUCCGUG